UUACGACCACAUCAUGUUGAACCACCGGUUCCUGCAAGAUCACCGAAGUUAAGCAACGUCGAGUUUGGUCAGUAGUUAGAUAAGUGACCGCUUAGUAAUACCAGGUGCU